rnacentral:rRNA from 1 species
ACUCCUACGGGAGGCAGCAGUGGGGGAAUAUUGGACAAUAGGGCGGAAAGACCUGAUCCAGCCAUGCCGCGUGUGUGAAGAAGGUCUUCGGAUUGUAAAGCACUUUAAGUUGGGUAGGAAGGGCGAGUUACCUAAUACGUAAUUGUUUUGUACGUUACCGACAGAAUAAGCACCGGCUAACUCUGUGCCAGCAGCCGCGGUAAUACAGAGGGGUGCAAGCGUUAAUCGGAAUUACUGGGCGUAAAGCGCGCGUAGGUGGUUUGUUAAGUUGGAUGUGAAAUCCCCGGGGCUCAACCUGGGAACUGCAUUCAAAACUGACUGACUAGAGUAUGGUAGAGGGUGGUGGGAAUUUCCUGUGUAGCGGUGAAAUGCGUAGAUAUAGGAAGGAACACCAGUGGCGAAGGCGACCACCUGGACUAAUACUGACACUGAGGUGCGAAAGCGUGGGGAGCAAACAGGAUU